rnacentral:tRNA from 2 species
UGGGGUGUAGGUCAACUGGCAGACCGCCGCACUGUUAAUGCGGAAGUUGGAGGUUCGAGUCCUCCCGCCCCAG